AGCUCAACGGUAGAGCAAUCGCCUUGUAAGCGAAAGGUUGCAGGUUCAUUAUGUUCCCCUGCA
rnacentral:tRNA from 1 species